CAGCCGCCACGGGAAUACAGAGGGUGCAAGCGUUAAUCGGAUUUACUGGGCGUAAAGCGUGUGUAGGUGGCUGUUCAAGUCGGUUGUGAAAGCCCUGGGCUCAACCUGGGAAUUGCUUCCGAGACUGAGCGGCUAGAGUACGGUAGAGGGCGGUGGAAUUUCCGGUGUAGCGGUGAAAUGCGUAGAUAUCGGAAGGAACACCAAUGGCGAAGGCAGCCGCCUGGGCCUGUACUGACACUGAGACACGAAAGCGUGGGGAUCAAACAGGAUUAGAUACCCCUGUAGUCCCUGUCUCUUAUAC
rnacentral:rRNA from 1 species